rnacentral:rRNA from 1 species
GAUGAACGCUGGCGGCGUGCCUAAUACAUGCAAGUCGAGCGAACAGACGAGGAGCUUGCUCCUCUGACAUUAGCGGCGGACGGGUGAGUAACACGUGGAUAACCUACCUAUAAGACUGGGAUAACUUCGGGAAACCGGAGCUAAUACCGGAUAAUAUAUUGAACCGCAUGGUUCAAUAGUGAAAGACGGUUUUGCUGUCACUUAUAGAUGGAUCCGCGCCGCAUUAGCUAGUUGGUAAGGUAACGGCUUACCAAGGCAACGAUGCGUAGCCGACCUGAGAGGGUGAUCGGCCACACUGGAACUGAGACACGGUCCAGACUCCUACGGGAGGCAGCAGUAGGGAAUCUUCCGCAAAGGGCGAAAGCCUGACGGAGCAACGCCGCGUGAGUGAUGAAGGUCUUCGGAUCGUAAAACUCUGUUAUUAGGGAAGAACAAAUGUGUAAGUAACUAUGCACGUCUUGACGGUACCUAAUCAGAAAGCCACGGCUAACUACGUG